GAUGAAGAACGCAGCGAAAUGCGAUAAGUAGUGUGAAUUGCAGAAUUCAGUGAAUCAUCGAAUCUUUGAACGCACAUUGCGCCCCUCGGUAUUCCGUGGGGCACGCCUGUUCGAGCGUCAUUUACACCCUCAAGCGCAGCUUGGUGUUGGGCGUCUGUCCCGCUCUCCGUAGCGCGGACUCGCCUCAAAGUCAUUGGCGGCGGUCGUGCCGGCUCCUCGCGCAGCACAUUUGCGCUUCUCGGAGGCCCGGCGGAUCGGCAUCCAGCAAGCUACUUUUUAUGACUUGACCUCGGAUCAGGCGAGGAUACCCGCUGAACUUAAGCAUAUCAAUAAGCGGAGGA
rnacentral:misc_RNA from 1 species